GACGAACGCUGGCGGCGUGCCUAACACAUGCAAGUCGAGCGAUUCUCUUCGGAGAAGAGCGGCGGACGGGUGAGUAACGCGUGGGUAACCUGCCCUGUACACACGGAUAACAUACCGAAAGGUAUGCUAAUACGGGAUAACAUAAGAAAUUCGCAUGUUUUUCUUAUCAAAGCUCCGGCGGUACAGGAUGGACCCGCGUCUGAUUAGCUAGUUGGUGAGGUAAUGGCCCACAAAGGCGACGAUCAGUAGCCGACCUGAGAGGGUGAUCGGCCACAUUGGAACUGAGACACGGUCCAAACUCCUACGGGAGGCAGCAGUGGGGAAUAUUGCACAAUGGGCGAAAGCCUGAUGCAGCAACGCCGCGUGAGCGAUGAAGGCCUUCGGGUCGUAAAGCUCUGUCCUCAAGGAAGAUAAUGACGGUACUUGAGGAGGAAGCCCCGGCUAACUACGUGCCAGCCGCCGCGGUAA
rnacentral:rRNA from 1 species